UGUUCCUUGCGCGCCUCCGGGUGCAUGGCAGCCCUCUUCCUCUCAGCCUUGCGCCGCUCAAUCUCCUUGGGGUCCCCCCACACCUCCCAGUCAUCGAUCGGCUCAUCCGCCUGGGGACCAAAACAAAACAUGAAAAUCAGCGUCACACUGGCGUAGGAGCUCCUUUCUUUUGGCGACUCUUGGGCCCUGCUGGGGAGAAUCCAGCCACUCCCUUACACUUAUUGAGUGUUCACAGGGGAAGAUCAACCAUGCCCUUGGCAUCCUUGACCUCCGUCUCCUUACUCAUGCCCCAGGCUUCAUCAGGGCGUCUGUAUCUACUUAAAAUCAUUUCGAUUUCAUUUUGUGGUGCUCUGCAAAUGGAAAGCCUCCUGCAGUACAUGUGCUCCCUUCACAUGAGGAAUACAUGACUUGAAUGGCGCACUUGUCCUCCAUCGCUGUCCGAGUCACUCUCCACCUCGGCGUACUGCAGGAUCCAGUCACGGGCCUUCUGCUUCUCGCGUGCCAAAGCGGCAGCGUCCGCUUUUGGUCCUGCUUU
rnacentral:lncRNA from 1 species